UGUGUGUUCUCCCUCUUCUUCCUGGUUUCCUUGAUUUCCUCCAUCACUGCUGCCAAUCCUACCGGCCUCAAAAUUCGGAUUACAGAAAAAGCACGGCCUGUUUUGAUUGGUCAUGGAAUAAAGAAUUUACAGGGGCUGAUUGGUAAAUCCGUACCAAAGAUGGGCGAUGAAACAACCCGCACAGACGUAAGAGACGUGAGAGUCUUGAUUGGAGUGGAACUCAAACAAAAGGCUGAUGGACAUCUGAAUAUUGCUAUAGAAGAAUGUAAUUUCAGUGCCCAAAGUGAGACACAGUC